GAGAGGCGCAUCUGCGCAGGCGCCCGGCUCCUAAGUCUACCCAGGAACUGACCCUGCUCUCUCCUUUCCCUGUUAGACAUGGGCACUCCACAGAAGGAUGUUAUUAUCAAGUCAGAUGCACCGGACACUUUGUUAUUGGAGAAACAUGCAGAUUAUAUCGCAUCCUAUGGCUCAAAGAAAGAUGAUUAUGAAUACUGUAUGUCUGAGUAUUUGAGAAUGAGUGGCAUCUAUUGGGGUCUGACAGUAAUGGAUCUCAUGGGACAACUUCAUCGCAUGAAUAGAGAAGAGAUUCUGGCAUUUAUUAAGUCUUGCCAACAUGAAUGUGGUGGAAUAAGUGCUAGUAUCGGACAUGAUCCUCAUCUUUUAUACACUCUUAGUGCUGUCCAGAUUCUUACGCUGUAUGACAGUAUUAAUGUUAUUGACGUAAAUAAAGUUGUGGAAUAUGUUAAAGGUCUACAGAAAGAAGAUGGUUCUUUUGCUGGAGAUAUUUGGGGUCCCACUAAGCAGCUGGUCUAACUGGAGUUAAUGGUCUGCUGGAACUUCCAGCAUGCACUGUGGUAGUUAUAUCAGCAUAUACAGGAGCACUGGAACAGAGGGGGCCAGUCUAAAAGAUAAGGGAUGAACACAGUGCAGGCCAGAGAGACCAGCUGCUUCAUGGGAUGUGAAAAAUCUACUUUUAUAAAGUAGGGAGAAAUUGACACAAGAUUCUCUUUUUGUGCGGUGGCAACUUUGGCUUUGUUGGGGAAGCUUGAUGCUAUUAAUGUGGAAAAGGCAAUCGAAUUUGUUUUAUCCUGUAUGAACUUUGACGGUGGAUUUGGUUGCAGACCAGGUUCUGAAUCCCAUGCUGGGCAGAUCUAUUGUUGCACAGGAUUUCUGGCAAUUACAAGUCAGUUGCAUCAAGUAAAUUCUGAUUUACUUGGCUGGUGGCUUUGUGAACGACAAUUACCCUCAGGCGGGCUCAAUGGAAGGCCGGAGAAGUUACCAGAUGUAUGCUACUCAUGGUGGGUCCUGGCUUCCCUAAAGAUAAUUGGAAGACUUCAUUGGAUUGAUAGAGAGAAACUGCGUAAUUUCAUUUUAGCAUGUCAAGAUGAAGAAACGGGGGGAUUUGCAGACAGGCCAGGAGAUAUGGUGGAUCCUUUUCAUACCUUAUUUGGAAUUGCUGGAUUGUCACUUUUGGGAGAAGAACAGAUUAAACCUGUUAAUCCUGUCUUUUGCAUGCCUGAAGAAGUGCUUCAGAGAGUGAAUGUUCAGCCUGAGCUAGUGAGCUAGAUUCAUUGAAUUGAAAGUUGCAUAGUAUAGUUUUGCCAUUUUAACAUUUCUGUAUUUGAAGUGCUUAUCGAAUCUAAAAGUGACUACUGUUAAUAUUUUGUAUAUUGUGUUAAAUUAAUUUUAAUAAAUUAUAUAAUUAUACAUAUUGUAAAAUAAAGACCGGUAUUUUAUUUUCUGCUUUUUAUUCUGAAGUCCUGUUAUUCUGACUACAGUUCUUUGUGUAUACUUCUGUGUCUGUUAUGUUCAAUAACUGAGCUAACAUAAAAUAACUCUAGGUUUCUACUUGAUUUUUCCCCCAUGUAUACCUUUCAUCUGUUCUAUAGCAAGUUGAUGUAAAUUGGUUUGUCAACAAGAAUGUUAACUGAUGAAAGUGGAUAGAACCCAUACAUGAAUUAAAUGAUGCACAAAAUAAAUGGCUGUUGAAAUUUGGAAAUGAUUGA